UACGUAGGCAGCAAGCGUUGUUCGGAAUUACUGGGCGUAAAGAGUGCGUAGGUGGUUGGCUAAGUUUGGUGUGAAAUCUCCUGGCUUAACUGGGAGGGUGCGCCGAAAACUGGUCGACUGGAGUGUGGGAGAGGGACGUGGAAUUCCUGGUGUAGCGGUGAAAUGCGUAGAUAUCAGGAGGAACACCUGCGGUGUAGACGGCGUCCUGGACCAUGACUGACACUGAGGCACGAAAGCGUGGGGAGCAAACAGG
rnacentral:rRNA from 1 species